rnacentral:lncRNA from 1 species
AUUUGUUUCAAAUGGAUGAAAAAUCACAUGCUAAAACCCCCUCUUGUCACUGUCAUCAAUAUGGCCUGUACCACUCAGUAGACGCCGUGGCUGCCUGGUUUGUCCUGGGUACAGCUUGGCUGGAGGAGCUCUUGAUGCCACUCUCUAGUCUCAGAGGGAUCUGUGCUCUUGAGCUCGUUCCAAUCACUCCCCACUCUCCCAGUGAAACGAGAGGUGCUCAGACCCACUGCUCUCCCGCCGAAGACAUGGCUGAUGUCUGUUGUCCUCUUCGGAUUUUGUCUGGAGAAGGUAGCACAGUUGGACUUUCCUCCCAUUUCUUCUGGGUGCACAACUCUACGAAGACCUUUAGAUGAUGUCUUUUUAACGUCUAACUACAAGGGAACAUUUCCCAGGCCUGAUUAAUCAAGGUAGGAAUCAUGAAUAAGUAAUACUUGAGCUCCAAAGUAAAAAGUACUGUCUCAUAGGGUUUUCAUUAUGAAAUUGAUAAAUUCUUUAAAAGUUAAAAGAUGCAUUUAUUAUUAAACACAGGGGGUUCUCUUCCCCAUGGGUAGGUAAAGCAAGUUAUCUGAAAUUGUGAAGUCCAUAUGAAUUCGUUUGCAAAUAUUCUCAUGUUGGUCCCCCUGGGCAGCCAUCGGGAUAGUCUAGCCAAAAGACCACGCAGCAUUCUCAUGCUUGGCUCAUGCAUUGGUGCCACUCGCAGCCGCUUGUGGGAGUGGACCUAAAUUGUGCGUUUCCUCUAGGAUGGCACGUAAGGGCCUCAGGAGAGAAUAUAGGAAAGUAAGUCCAGACUUGGAAGAGCAGAGGUGUGGAAGUGGGUUUCCGUUCAUCCAUGCUUAGCUAAUUGCUCAGCAAUUGAGAGUCACGGCUUGUAACCAAUGAACAGACUGCCGUGCUGAGUGCAGACUUCUGGCUUUACUGUGCAUUUUCUUGAGGCAUUUUAUGCAUGUGUAUUUUCCUUAGACAGACAUCUUCAUCUAUAUAUUUGGCUUCCACUCAUACAUUCAUUGCAGAGAAGCUUGCUAAUGUGUUGAGAUUUCAAGGAACUUAGAGACAACAAAGUGCUGUGUCUGGUGUGUCCGGUUGAGGAGGUAACUUUCAGAAGCCUGCCUUCAGAGACCCCGGUGAUAAAAUGCUAAAGGCUGGGCCAAAACUACAACCAAUCAUC